rnacentral:pre_miRNA from 1 species
GGCAAACUGAAGAAGUGUUGGAGAGAUGAGGGGUUAAGAGUUCAUUCGGCUGUCCAGAUGUAUCCAAGUACCCUGUUAUUUGGCAAUAAAUACAUCUGGGCAACUGAUUGAACUUUUCGCUUCUCUUGACUCAACUGGA